rnacentral:tRNA from 1 species
GGCCCGUUGGUCAAGCGGUCAAGACGUUGCCCUUUCACGGCGAAAUCAGGGGUUCGAUUCCCCUACGGGUCACCA